rnacentral:lncRNA from 10 species
CUUAUGACACAAUAUUCAAGGGAAAAGCAGGACAUAAAAGUUGCAGAUACAGUAUGAUAAAAUUAUAUGAAAAUGGUUGUGCAUGGAAAAAAGACUGAAAGGAAACACACCAAAAUAUCCAGAGUGAUUGUGUCCUGGUACUAUGGAUGAUUUCUUUCCUACUUUUCUACAUUUGCCAAAUAGUCAAUCGGCAUACAGUUUUACAACAAAGAAAAGGCACCAAUGAUAAUAAUGAUAAUAAUAAAAAGAAUUAUAGGGCCGGGUGCGGUGGCUCACGCCUGUAAUCCCAGCACUUUGGGAGGCCGAGGAGGGCGGAUCACCUGAGGUCAGAGUUUGGAGACCAGCCGAAACCCUGUCUCUACUAAAAACACACAAAAAUUAGCCGGGCGUGGUGGUGCAUGCCUGUAAUCCCAGCUACUAGGGAGGCCGAGGCAGGAGAAUUUCUUGAACCCGGGAGGCAGAGGUUGCAGUGAGCCGAGAUCGUGCCAGCAACAGAGUGAGCCUCCGUCUCAAAAAAACAAAACAAACAAAUAAAUAAUAAGAAGAAUGAUAACAAUACAUUUGCGGUUGAAAUAUUUGGAAACCUGCUGCUUCCUCUUCAACUUCCUCUCCUUCAAUUCCCUCCAAAGUCUACGUUUUCAGGACAACGUGACUAUAACCCAGAGACAAGGGAGGAUUUGGGGGGAGCAGGCAGUAUCUCCACAGACCCACGCCCACCUCCUCCUCCUCUCCUUUGACCCGGUUCUCCUCUCCGUCGAGUGAGGACCCCCACCCCGGGCCCUCCUCCUCCCAGCACCUACCCCCAGCUGCUGCUGGCGCUCACCUGAAGCUUGCUGGCCGGCCUUCGAGAUGCGAAGUGCGCACACCUGUGCCUGCAGGUGAGGACUCCGCUGGGGAGCGCUCCGGGAGGAGGGAGCCGGCCGGGGGCGGGGCCGCGACGUCACCGGCCCAGCCCCGCGCCGCUUCCCGGCCCCGCCCCGCCCCGCCCCGCCCCGGUUUCCCGGCCCCGGGGGUUUCGUGGUUCUCAUGCUUGCGGGGUGAGGCGCUGGGACACUUCUCCCGGCACGCACGCCCCACAUGGCCUGGGCCUGUUUCCUUCUCCUCGCAGCCCACUCUACUUCUCUCCGGCCCGCUCCAACACCUAAGAGAGAGAUAGGGACAUGGAGAUCGGGGUGUUUGGGUCAAGUUAUCUUUGGAUCUGACACCUGCGCUCCGGAAACUUUCCAUCUUCUUUGUAUUAUCUGAGACUGCUUGUAUUUGGCAAAUUUUUUUCUUGAAAAUAUCAGCCUGCUGGUGGUGGCAGAGAUAAGGGUCUCCGCUCUGUCGGACAGGUUCCAGCUGCCCAAGAGUCGUAAAUUAGCGUUUGCCUUAGGGCAGCAAUUCCAUUUCUGGAAAUCUCUUCCAAGGAAGUCAUGCAGAAUACCUGUUCAUUGUGGAGAUCUUUUUAUUUACUUUUUUUUUGAAGCAGGGAGGGUGUUGCUCUGUUGCCCAGGCUGGAGUGCAGUGGUGUGAUCACGGCUCACUGCAGCCUCGAACUCCUGGGCUCAAGCCAUCUGCCCACCUCAGUCUCCUGAGUAGCUGGGACUACAGGCGAGCACCACACCUUUCUAAUUUUUCCAUCUUUUGUAGAGAUGGGGUCUCUGGCCAGGCGUGGUGGCUCAUGCCUGUAAUUCCAGCACUCUGGGAGGCAGAGGUGGGUGGAUCACUUGAGGUCAGGAGUUCAAGACCAGCCUGACCAACAUGGUGAAACCUCGUGUGUUCUAAAAAUACAAAAAUUAGCUGGGUGUGGUGGUGCAUGCCUGUAGUCCCAGCUACUUGGGAGACUGAGGCAGGAGGAUAGCUUGAACCUGGGAGGGGGAGGUGGCAGUGAGCAGAGAACGCACCACAGCACUCCGGCCUGGCAACAGAGUGAGAUCCUGUCUCAAAAAAAAAAAAAAGGUGGGGUCUCACUAUGUUUCCCAGGCUAGUCUUGAACUCCUGGGCUCAAGUGAUGAACCUACCUCAGCCUCCCAAAGUGCUAGAGUUAGAGGCGUGAGCCACUGCACCCAGGCAUUGUGGAGUUCUUUAUAAUGGGGAGGGUUGGGGCUGGUCUAAGUGUCCAGAGAAGGGGGUUCUUUAACAGAGCAAACACACGAUAGAAUAUUAUGCAAGCAUUAAGUUAUGUUUACAAACAGCUUAUAAUAAUAUGAGGAAAUAUGUUAUAAUAUGAAGAGAAUAAAAGCAGGAUGUCAAUGUGUGGUGACAGCAGGGUCACAGCUAUACUUAAAAGCAAAACAAUUUAUGCACAAGGAAGAGUCUGGAAGGAAAAUGUUCACUACGAUUAUUUCUGGGUGGUGGCACUAUGAGGCUUCUUUAUUAUCCUUCUGUUUUCCUGCUUUUUCAACAUCUAAUAAGCUUAUAUCACUUUUAUAAAGUUUCUUCAUUUCUUUUUUUUUAAUUAAAAAAAAUUUUUUUUUGAUACGGAGUCUUGCUCUGUUGCCCAGGCUGGAGUGCAAUGGUGC